AAUCAAUGAAGAUAACAUAUUGUGAACCAUAAAUAACUACUGAUUUUAACCAAACGACGCACUUUAUCCAGUUAACGUGGCAUACAAGAAAUGGGACAAGCAGAAUCAAAAGAGGUGAUAGAAGAUGGUAAAUUUGAAAAACUGAAGCAGAUAGCAACAAGACAAGGACAGCUGCAGUUUCACAGUAUCUUAAGGAUAAUGUGAAUCAAUGGAAAGAAGAAAAAGUAAUUUUUGCCGUUACUGGGAGGUCCGCUACAGGAAAAUCAACGUUUAUUAAUAAAAUCAGAGAUGUCCAACCAUCUGAUCCAGGAUUCGCCAAAUCUGGAAGUGGAAACACUACCAAAGAACUAACAGCUUACCAGAAUCCACAGAAUAAGAGAAUAGAAUUCUAUGACCUACCAGGAGUAGGAACAAUGGAAUUUCCAAAAGAAACGUACGUUUCGAAAAUGAAAUUAAAGGAAUACGAUUACUUUUUCAUAUUUUUCGACAAAGUUUUAAGUGAAGAUGACUAUUUCCUGGUCUGCAUGCUAAUAGACUUGAAAAAGUCAUUCUGUUUAGUGAGGUCAAAAAUUGAUGACGAUUUGAGAAAUGCGGAAGAUGACGGUAAGAGAGAGGAAGAAGUAAUUCCAGGAAUCAGAAAACAAAUUAACGAACAGAUAUCACGUUAUGAACAUCUGAAGAAUUCCGAUGCAAUUUUCCUUAUGUCUAGCAAAAGGAAAGACAUAGGGGAUUGGGAAAAUUUGUUGCACCAUAUCGAAAAAUGUUUGCCACCUCCUAAAUUUGAAACGUUUAUGUAUUCACUGCCCACGCUUACGGAAAAUGUGAUAGAUUUAAAGUACCAAACAUUGAGGAAACGCAUAAAACUGGCUACAUUAGCUGCUGCUUGCAUAGCAGCAGCUCCAGUACCCGGAUUAGACGUUGUUGCAAAUCUAGCAUUAUUAGUAGAAGAAGUUGUACAUUAUAUUAAUGUUUUUGGCCUCUCAAAAGAAAGGCUAGAGGCUUUGGAUGGGUUGAAUCGUAAAAAAUUUAAUUGCGCUAGUUUUCAUAUUCAGGAUAUUCCUGGUAUGGAUUUGGCAAAAGUCAUUAUUGCCCAAUUAGGAAAAUAUAUAGCAAUAUUUACAAUAGAAUCUGUAGCUGACAUAUUCCUACCUAUAAUCGGAUCAAUUGUUUCUGCAGGGACAUCGGCAGUUUUUACGUAUUGCUACCUUAGUCGUACUCUUGACAAUUUUAGAGAUGACGCUCGUAUAGUUUAUAGAUUUAUCAUGGAAAAACAGGAUAUCAAAGUCUAAAAGUGUUUACAUAAACCGAAUGUUGUACUAGAUUUAUAUUCACAUGUAUAAUUAGUCAAGAUUUGAAUGUUGUUAAACAUGUGUGCUUAUUGAACCAUACAAUGUUAGUUUUGAGUUAAUGUAGUUGCUGCGAUAACAGUCCUGUCAUCUAUAGUAAUUUUAAUUUCCAAUAACAUGUUUGUCAUUUUGUUAUAUCGGGCCUUUUAAUUGUUUACUGUAAAAUGUAAUGACGA